rnacentral:lncRNA from 1 species
UGUAAGAGAAAGUAACCAGAUACCUUAUUAAUUUUUAAAUGCAUCUAUUAAAAACUCUUGAAUUAUUUUUAACUAAUCAUAUACCUAAUUCUAUAAUGUUGUGUUUACUUAUGACGAUAGGAACUUAAAAUUUAGAAUGUGAAUAAUUAAUGAUGUUUAUUUAAUGGAAUUUGGAUCUACAUAAUAAAUUUAAAUAUAAUUUUAAAUUCAAUAAUUUAUGUAAUAUUAUUAAAUAAAAUUUAUUUAUUAUUCAACAAUUAAAAAUUCAACAUAAAUAAUAUAUAAUAACACCAUAAAUGCAUAAUUUAAAAUUUCACAACAUAAAUCAAACAAAAAUCAAUGAAAAUUAUAGAGCUAGUUAUACUAAUACAUAUUAAAUAAAUAAUUUAAUUAUAAAAUAAUACGGAUUCGAAUUCGAAUGUUUUCAGAUUCAGAUUUUUCGGAUAUUUGUGGGUGUGGACCGGAUCCAAAUUUUCUUGCCAUCCCUUUCCUCGUAAAUCAUAAUGGGCUAAGUGGGCGGUGAAGGAAAAUGAUUAAGGAGAAGGGACCAAAGAUUCUAACAAAACGGCAAAUCUGACUCCCGUUUUUAGCUCAACAAGUGGAAAACCAUUAAAAUUUACCCGUGAAAAAACUACAAUAACGUCAAUUUUACAAACACAGAAGAGCUUCUCUUACAAAGCUAGUUCCACCGCUCAAAAUCAAAGAAGAUGACAAAGAAUAAAACGAUAGUGUUUUUGUAAGAUGAGUGUUGUUCCGGUUCGCUGCUGGUGUGAGCGUUGCAUUUGGUUUGGUAAGGUUGGAGAUAACAAAAUAAUUGUGGCGGUGUGCGGAUGCCCAGUGCGCGCACACGGGUAGCUUGCUUCUGUUUUUGGUAUGCACUAGUUUGCUUUUUGCUUAAGACGAAAAUGAAUGAAUAAAUGAGCGAAAGCCCAAAACGAGAGCCAAAUUGUCGUUUUGUCAGCGAGUCGGUCUCAAUAUCAGCACUCGUGUCAAAGACUCAAAAUGAGCGAGUAUGAUUUCAUGAUCAAGCUUCAAGCCUGCAUAUGAUUUCAUGAUCAAGCUUCAAGCCUGCUUCCAGCCUCCGGGAGACUUCUCUGCAUUACCGCCAGCCCAGGCUGCAACUUAAAUAUUCCAAACACCCGGAUUAUGACAUUGUUUUAUUUAAAUUCUUAAUGAAACUCAAUUCCUUUAAUUUUUAAAAGCAAGUGGCGUGAGGCAAGGAAAUUAAGAAAAUAUAAUGGCUGCCCACCUUGACUGGUUGGUGGGACUCGGUGGUAUCUUUCACUUUCACAUAAUUAAUAACAAGGUUAUCUUUUCACUCACUUAAAUUAUUGGGAAAUAACAAAUAAGUCCAAUGAGUAUAUUCUCAUAAUAUUUUGUUACUAAAAAAAUAUAAAAUCUUAUAUUUUACAAUUUUGUAUUAAAACUAUUAAUUUAUCGG